ACACUGAUGAUGAGUCCGACAAUAGGACGAAAUGGCCGUCCAGUGU
rnacentral:hammerhead_ribozyme from 1 species